rnacentral:rRNA from 1 species
GACGAACGCUGGCGGCGUGCUUAACACAUGCAAGUCGAACGAAGUGGCGAACGGGUGAGUAACGCGUAAUCAACCUGCCCUUCAGAGGGGGACAACAGUUGGAAACGACUGCUAAUACCGCAUACUGAAGGAGGGGAGUGCGUCGGAUUAGCUAGUUGGCGGGGUAACGGCCCACCAAGGCGAUGAACAGUAGCCGGUCUGAGAGGUAGACCGGCCCCAUUGGGACUGGGACACGGCCCAGACUCCUACGGGGGGCAGCAGUGGGGAAUUUUCCGCAAUGGACGAAAGUCUGACGGAGCAACGCCGCGUGAGUGAUGACGGCCUUCGGGUUGUAAAGCUCUGUUAAUCGGGACGCGGUACCGGAAUAGAAAGCCACGGCUAACUACGUGCCAGCAGCCGCGGUAAUAC